UUCCGGUUGAUCCUGCCGGACCCCACUGCUAUCGGGAUGGGACUAAGACAUGCUAGUCGAGCGUCUCCAAGCUAUGGAAGAGACGCGGCACACAGCUCAGUAACACGUGGCUAACCUGCCCUUGGGACAAGGACAACUCCGGGAAACUGGGGCUAAUCCCUGAUAAGUGAGAACUCCUGGAAUGGAUUCUCGCUCAAAGGACGUUUGGACCAUGCUUCUAGGCGUCGCCCAAGGAGGGGGCCGCGACCGAUCAGGUUGUUGGUGAGGUAACGGCUCACCAAGCCUUUAACCGGUACGGGCCGUGAGAGCGGAAGCCCGGAGAUGGGCACUGAGACAAGGGCCCAGGCCCUACGGGGCGCAGCAGUCGCGAAGACUCCGCAAUACACGAAAGUGUGACGGGGCUAUCCCGAGUGCCAUCCGCUGAGGAUGGCUUUUCCCCAGUGUAUAAAGCUGGGGGAAUAAGGAGAGGGCAAGCCUGGUGUCAGCCGCCGCGGUAAUACCAGCUCUCCGAGUGGUGGGGAUGUUUAUUGGGCCUAAAGCAUUCGUAGCCUGCUUGGCAAGUCCUCCGUUAAAUCCAACGAUUCAAUCGUUGGGCUGCGGGGGAUACUGUCCAGCUAGGGGGCGGGAGAGGCCGACGGUAUCCCCGGGGUAGGGGUGAAAUCCUAUAAUCCCGGGAGGACCACCAGUGGCGAAGGCUGUCGGCUAGAACGCGCUCGACGGUGAGGGAUGAAAGCUGGGGGAGCGAACCGGAUUAGAUACCCGGGUAGUCCCAGCUGUAAACGAUGCAGGCUAGGUGUUGGCGCGGCUACGUGCCGCUCCAGUGCCGCAGGGAAGCCGUUAAGCCUGCCGCCUGGGAAGUACGGCCGCAAGGCUGAAACUUAAAGGAAUUGGCGGGGGAGCACCACAAGGUGUGAAGCUUGCGGU
rnacentral:rRNA from 1 species